AUUGAACGCUGGCGGCAGGCUUAACACAUGCAAGUCGAACGAUGAUUAUCUAGCUUGCUAGAUAUGAUUAGUGGCGGACGGGUGAGUAACAUUUAGGAAUCUGCCUAGUAGUGGGGGAUAGCUCGGGGAAACUCGAAUUAAUACCGCAUACGACCUACGGGUGAAAGGGGGCGCAAGCUCUUGCUAUUAGAUGAGCCUAAAUCAGAUUAGCUAGUUGGCGGGGUAAAGGCCCACCAAGGCGACGAUCUGUAACUGGUCUGAGAGGAUGAUCAGUCACACCGGAACUGAGACACGGUCCGGACUCCUACGGGAGGCAGCAGUGGGGAAUAUUGGACAAUGGGGGCAACCCUGAUCCAGCCAUGCCGCGUGUGUGAAGAAGGCCUUUUGGUUGUAAAGCACUUUAAGCAGGGAGGAGAGGCUAAUGGUUAAUACCCAUUAGAUUAGACGUUACCUGCAGAAUAAGCACCGGCUAACUCUGUGCCAGCAGCCGCGGUAAUACAGAGGGUGCGAGCGUUAAUCGGAAUUACUGGGCGUAAAGCGAGUGUAGGUGGCUCAUUAAGUCACAUGUGAAAUCCCCGGGCUUAACCUGGGAACUGCAUGUGAUACUGGUGGUGCUAGAAUAUGUGAGAGGGAAGUAGAAUUCCAGGUGUAGCGGUGAAAUGCGUAGAGAUCUGGAGGAAUACCGAUGGCGAAGGCAGCUUCCUGGCAUAAUAUUGACACUGAGAUUCGAAAGCGUGGGUAGCAAACAGGAUUAGAUACCCUGGUAGUCCACGCCGUAAACGAUGUCUACUAGCCGUUGGGGUCCUUGAGACUUUAGUGGCGCAGUUAACGCGAUAAGUAGACCGCCUGGGGAGUACGGCCGCAAGGUUAAAACUCAAAUGAAUUGACGGGGGCCCGCACAAGCGGUGGAGCAUGUGGUUUAAUUCGAUGCAACGCGAAGAACCUUACCUGGUCUUGACAUAGUGAGAAUCCUGCAGAGAUGCGGGAGUGCCUUCGGGAAUUCACAUACAGGUGCUGCAUGGCUGUCGUCAGCUCGUGUCGUGAGAUGUUGGGUUAAGUCCCGCAACGAGCGCAACCCUUUUCCUUAUUUGCCAGCGGGUUAAGCCGGGAACUUUAAGGAUACUGCCAGUGACAAACUGGAGGAAGGCGGGGACGACGUCAAGUCAUCAUGGCCCUUACGACCAGGGCUACACACGUGCUACAAUGGUAGGUACAGAGGGUUGCUACACAGCGAUGUGAUGCUAAUCUCAAAAAGCCUAUCGUAGUCCGGAUUGGAGUCUGCAACUCGACUCCAUGAAGUCGGAAUCGCUAGUAAUCGCAGAUCAGAAUGCUGCGGUGAAUACGUUCCCGGGCCU
rnacentral:rRNA from 1 species